rnacentral:precursor_RNA from 1 species
UUCUCAUUGGCCUCAUGUCCUGUCACUUCCAGGAGCUGGCCAAUGAGUUGUCG